rnacentral:rRNA from 1 species
CUAAGGCUCCAGAGGAAGCCACGGCUAACUCUGUGCCAGCAGCCGCGGUAAUACAGAGGCGGCAAGCGUUGUUCGGAAUUAUUGGGCGUAAAGAGCACGUAGGCGGCCUUGCAAGUCAGUUGUGAAAGCCUUCCGCUUAACGGAAGAAUGCCAGCUGAUACUACAGGGCUUGAGUACGGGAGGGGAGAGUGGAACUUCUGGUGGAGCGGUGAAAUGCGUAGAUAUCUGAAGGAACGCCGGCGGCGAAAGCGACUCUCUGGCCCGAAACUGACGCUGAGUGUGCGAAAGCUAGGGGAGCAAACGGGAUUAGAUACCCCGGUAGUCCUAGCCGUAAA